AAACCAGCACCUCAAGUGGUCAGGAUGAUUAUUGGGCCUAAAGCAUCCGUAGCCGGCUCUGUAAGUUUUCGGUUAAAUCUGUACGCUUAACGUACAGGCUGCCGAGAAUACUGCAGAGCUAGGGAGUGGGAGAGGUAGACGGUACUCGGGAGGAAGUGGUAAAAUGCUUUGAUCUCUCGAUGACCACCUGUGGCGAAGGCGGUCUACCAGAACACGUCCGACGGUGAGGGAUGAAAGCUGGGGGAGCAAACCGGAUUAGAAACCCCGGUAGUCC
rnacentral:rRNA from 1 species